rfam:Zea mays cultivar B73 chromosome 10, whole genome shotgun sequence.
CCUCUUCGUGAUGACGAAGUUGUGGCCUAUCUCUUGGCCGGACUUGGCUCGGAUUAUGAUCCGUUCGUCACGUCCAUAACCACAAAGACUGAAGCUCUCUCCCUGGACGAUGUUUAUGCUCAUCUCCUUACAUUUGAAGC